rnacentral:lncRNA from 1 species
CCGCCCGCCCCCCGGAUCACGGGCUUCGGCCACGCCCUCUUCCCGUCACGUGACGGUGCGCGGAGGCGGUGGUGGAGUUGCUUCCCCUGCUAGGCGGGCUCGAACCGGGCGGGAGUCACUGUCCACCUUGCUUCGCCAGGGUGUUAUCGCCAGCCAGUCCCCUUCCGCAUGCCCAAGGGCAGCCUCAGGAAGCGAGCCCACCACCGUCGGCCCAGCGCCUGUUGAUCGGCCAGGCCUUCUGGGCCGGUCAUACUGGGCCCUUCCUAACCUGAGGAGAUUGCACAGUAGGGCUCCCUGGUCUGGUCAGGGCUCAGUUAGGACCCCUCUCCAGCCUUAGGCUUGGUGAAAGCUUUAGCGAAACAGAAAAAAGAACGCAUCGUGGUGUAGAGUGUAUGGCCUAAGAAGCAUUCGCUCCACUCAAAAAAAAGAAAGUCCUAAUGCAAGUAAUUGAAAGUGAAGAUAUUGCAAAACAAAUAAUGACAGCUGAAUUGAUGAUAUGAUGACAGGCUCAUCCCUCCAUUGUAAACUAUGCUGCGUAAGAUAUGCCUGCUUCCUGUUUGCCUUAUGCCAUGAUUGUAAGUUUCCUGAGGCCUCCCCAGCCAUGCUUCUAUACAGCCUGUGGAACCAUGGGUCGAUUAAACCUCUUUUCAUUACAAAUUACCCAGUCUCAAGUAGUUCUUUAUAGCAAUGCAAAAACGGACAAAUACAUGGAUUGUUUUUGGAUUCUGAAGAUUCAGUGCUAUGGAUUUCACAUGAGUUUGGCUAUUUUGAUUAAAAUGUGGCUGUUUGUCUUUCCAUCUCUGCUUUGUUUCAUAUUUCAGACUCUGGCUCUCACUCAC